CUCUACUAUCAUACCACACUGUAAACGCCCGAUUCCAUCCGAUCUUGGAAGCGAAGCAGUGUUGGGCCGGGUCAGUACUAGGUUGGGUGACCUCCUAGGAAGACCCGGUUUAGUAGAGG